GUCCUACGGGGGGCAGCAGUGAGGAAUAUUGGUCAAUGGGCGCGAGCCUGAAUCAGCCAAGUCGCGUGAGGGAGGACGGCCCUACGGGUUGUAAACCUCUUUUGCCGGGGAGCAACGGGCGUCACGUGUGGCGCCACUGAGAGUACCCGGAGAAAAAGCAUCGGCUAACUCCGUGCCAGCAGCCGUGGUAAUACGGAGGAUCCAAGCGUUAUCCGGAUUUAUUGGGUUUAAAGGGUGCGUAGGCGGAUUGAUAAGUUAGAGGUGAAAUGUCCGAGCUUAACUCGGGAACUGCCUCUAAUACUGUU
rnacentral:rRNA from 1 species